rnacentral:piRNA from 1 species
UGGUGUGCUGAAGGUUCUUUUGGUACUGA